rnacentral:lncRNA from 1 species
GACAAACAUAUGAACAUAGAAUAUAGACAAUACAAAUUUGGUAUGUCAUAGAGAUGAAAAUAGAAUAUAGACAAUAGAAUUAGGGUAUGUCAAAGAGGCAAACAUAGAAUGGGGUAUGUCAAAGAGACAAAACUAUGAAAAUAGAAUAUAGACAAUAGAAAUGGGAUAUUUCAAAGAGACAAAAAUAUGAAAAUAGAAGAGACA